AGUGAACGCUGGCGGUAGGCCUAACACAUGCAAGUCGAACGGCAGCACAGUAAUAGCUUGCUCUUACGGGUGGCGAGUGGCGGACGGGGGAGGAAUACAUCGGAAGCUACUUUUUCGUGGGGGAUAACGUAGGGAAACUUACGCUAAUACCGCAUACGACCUACGGGUGAAAGCAGGGGAUCUUCGGACCUUGCGCGAUUGAAUGAGCCGAUGUCGGAUUAGCUAGUUGGCGGGGUAAAGGCCCACCAAGGCGACGAUCCGUAGCUGGUCUGAGAGGAUGAUCAGCCACACUGGAACUGAGACACGGUCCAGACUCCUACGGGAGGCAGCAGUGGGGAAUAUUGGACAAUGGGCGCAAGCCUGAUCCAGCCAUACCGCGUGGGUGAAGAAGGCCUUCGGGUUGUAAAGCCCUUUUGUUGGGAAAGAAAAGCAGCAGGUUAAUACCCCGCUGUUCUGACGGUACCCAAAGAAUAAGCACCGGCUAACUUCGUG
rnacentral:rRNA from 1 species